rnacentral:rRNA from 1 species
GUUGAACGCUGGCGGCGUGCCUAAUACAUGCAAGUCGAGCGAAUGAAGAGGAGCUUGCUCCUCUGAUUUAGCGGCGGACGGGUGAGUAACACGUGGGUAAUCUGCCUGUAAGACAGGGAUAACUCCGGGAAACCGGGGCUAAUACCGGAUAACAAAAGAAGAAGCAUUUCUACUUUUUGAAAGUCGGUUUCGGCUGAAGCUUACAGAUGAGCCCGCGGAGCAUUAGCGAGUUGGUGAGGUAACGGCUCACCAAGGCGACGAUGCGUAGCCGACCUGAGAGGGUGAUCGGCCACACUGGGACUGAGACGCGGCCCAGACUCCUACGGGAGGCAGCAGUAGGGAAUCUUCGGCAAUGGGCGAAAGCCUGACCGAGCAACGCCGCGUGAGCGAUGAAGGCCUUCGGGUCGUAAAGCUCUGUUGUUAGGGAAGAACACGUACGAGAGUAACUGCUCGUACCUUGACGGUACCUAACCAGAAAGCCACGGCUAACUACGUGCCAGCAGCCGCGGUAAAAC